ACAUUUACCACACUUGGCUCUUAUAGACUGGAAGGACAGAUGCUCUUCCUGAGCAAAGGGGCCGACCUGCAGAAAGAAAGUCAGCUCACAGGAAGCAGGACCAAAAUGUUUUGCUCGCCGCUGUGGCUUUAUCAACAAAAAUACUAUCUGACACUGACUUAUUCGUUGCAUAAGUAAAGGAAAUAAACAGCUGGCUUUCCCCUAUGGAAAUGAGGAACUGCUGAAGAUUCUGAGGAGGCUGGGUAACAGAACUCAGGCCCUAGGAGAUGAAUGGUUGGUUAACCCUGCGUGCACUCGAGAAAGGAACCCAGCAGCCGCGUCCUGCCUUUCCUGUUUUGCGCACCAUCCUCCUAGUCACCCAGGCUUGAGACCUGCAAGUUCCCGGACACCUCCCAUCUAGAGAGCCACCUGGCCCACCAUCCCUUCCUUUCCUCAUCUUUGCUGCUACCACACCCUAGGUUUUGACCACAUAAAUGUAGGGCCCUGCCAGCCUCCCAGCUCAUCCUUCUGCUCCAGACGCCUCCUCUUAACACUGUCUUGUACCACACCACCAGAGUGUUCUUCCCCAGACACCC
ensembl:lncRNA OSBPL10-AS1 OSBPL10 antisense RNA 1